UGCUGUAGCUCAGUUGGGGGAGGGUUAUACUGAAGAUCUAAAGGUUCUUGGUUUAAUCCCGGGUUUUGGCAG
rnacentral:tRNA from 1 species